CCCUUUCCGUCGAGCCAGGCAGAGGCGAGCGAGGUCGGCCGACGCUCGCGCGCGCGGGGAAGUGGAAGCGAGUUCGGCGGGCUGCCUUCCGCGCCUCCCCGAGGAGGAAUCGAAGGGCGGGCGCGUCGCCUCCGGCCAGCCUCUCCGUCGACGCGGACGGCGGACGAAGCAGCCCGAGGCCCGAGCGGCGAGGAGCAGGAGUCGGUGUCAGCAAACGAGCACGCUUCUGUCAGGCCGUUCGUCAUAGAGGUACAGUACUCUGACGGAGUUACCUUCUUCAGAGUGCAGAGGAGCAAAAUUGUUCUAAUCAGCAGCAGCACAACACAGUCACUUGGAUCAGCGGAAGAGGAGCAUCAGCAGCACGGGCAGAGGAGCAACAGGAGCUAGUUCUUCACGUACAAUGGAAAACAAGCAAGCUUAUAUCUGAAAAUUGAGUUAGCUAGGCUCACAAUUUUGAGUUGGCCCCUUUACAUAUGCUAUCUGAAAAAUGAGUUAGCUAGUCAUCUAAGUUGAGCUGAUUUUGAUUUCCGUAUGUUAUGGGGGGACAACAGAUAUUUCUAUAUGUUCAUUCUUGAGGGUACAGACUUGCUAAACUAUUGAUGAUUUUUUGUUGGGUGACCUAUUUUUGUCCAUAUGAAAGCAGAGGACCAUAUGGUCUGUGUCCUUUUCACCC